GAAAAUUCCAGAGGAGGAACCUGACACAUGCAUCUCCUGAUGCCCAUUGAUGAGGACAUGAGGGGGAUAUAUGUCAGGUUCCCCCUCUGGAAUUUUA